AGCUUGGAAGUCUUUGGUCCCCAUCCACUUCUAUUGUAUGGAAAAGUGCAGUGUGAUCAUUCUUCAAAACAUCUCGGUUUGUGUUCUACGGAUGAAAGUUAAUUGUACAGGCUUAAAGGGAGCUUGAAAGUCCUUGGUCCCCAUUCACUUCUAUUGUAUGGAAAAGUGCAGUUUGAUCAUUUUUCAGAAUUUCUCCUUUGUGUUCCACAAAUGGAAGAGAGUUAUAUGAGUUUGAGCUGUUUGGACUCUACUUUUGACGGUACCCAUUCACUCCAGAGAAUCCAUUGGUGAGCAAGUGAUGCAGUGCCACUGCAUUCAGCUGUUUGGACUCUCAUUCUGACGGCACCCAUUCACCGCAGAGGAUUUCAUUUGUGAGCAAAUGAUGUAAUGCUGAAUUUCUCUGAAUUUGAUGAAGAAACAAACUCAUCUACAUCUUGGAUGGCCUGAGGGACCCGUGGACACGGGAUGCUUAUCUGAGACCGAGAGGUUGUCAGCAGCAGGAUUUUGCUUUCAGCUUUAUCUUGAGUCGAGGUCCUGGCACAAACAUGCUGCUGGAGCUUCGGCCCCAGAAGAUAAGAGAGACAGAGAUGCAUGUUGGGACAGGGCGCCACCGACACCUGCUUGGACCAAACACAGGUUUUUGACUUGAGAGCCACCCUUGAACUAUAAAAUAGUUUAUAUGCUAUGCUAUAGUGUAUAGUUCAUGUUAUGCAUAUGCUGCAUACAUACAUAUAAACAGAUGUGCAGUAUAUACAUGCAUCCAUUUUAUAUACAGCAUCUGUGUUUGCAGCUUUUAAACUCCCUUAAGAAUAAUGGAUGUUAAAAGCACAGAAGCACUAACAUCUGUUAGCAGUGAGGUUGAUGUCAAACAAGGCUGUUUCACCUGAGAUGGCCCUGCAUCAUCUCAUGUGCACUCAUAUUAUUUUUUAAUGCAUUUCUGUGUCGGAGAUGUAUAACACAAUGCAAGUAUGUUGCAUUUUCAGUGUUGCCACAACAUACAGUAGGCGUUAUUAUAAAAUGGCUGCUUUUACGGUCAGUUUUUUAAUCCAUUAAGCAUUUGCAUCUGCAUAAGCAUAUUUGCAUUUGAGUUUAUCGUGAUAUAUCGUCCGUACACGGAUUUUGAAAAAGCAUUGCACAGUUUGCUUUUGUUUAAUUAUUAAUAGAGCAUUAAACUCUAUAAUAUUUUCUCAUCUACUGUCAGCAUUCAGCAAAAAUGCAUUUUUAUAAUUUAAACAAGUCUUUGAACAUCUAAUAAACAUUUCAUUUCAAAAGCCUUGCUGUCGAAUCCAGCUGUGAGGUUCUCUGAAAUGUGCAUUUGUGUUAUUAUUCACUAAAUCUAAAUGUAUUAAAAUCUGUAUUGUUACAGAAGUACUAAAAUUACUAAAACCAAAAAUGAAAUAAAAAUAAAGCUAAAAUAAUAGAAAUGAGAAAAACACAAAUGUGCAUUUGUCUUAUUAUUCAGUAAAUCUAAAUGUAUUCAAAUCUGUAUUAAUUAAAAUAAAUAAAACAAAAAAUAUAAAUAUUAAUUUGGCAGCUAACUGAAAUAAAGUAAGUUUAGACUGAAGUACUAAAAUUACUAAAACCAAAAAUGAAAUAAUAUAAAUGACAAAAGCACAUAAAAUAAUAACUAAAUUAAAAUUAAAUUUAAUUCAAUUAAAAAUAAAUCCAAACUGAAAAAAGUGACAUUAAAAUAAUAAAUCCUAUAAUAGCAUAGAAAUAAUGUUAAAAUAAAAGUGUCACAGUAAAACGAAGGGUAGCAAAUCAACUAAUUUGCAAUUGAAAAAAGUUGUCAAAUUAAUUUAAAUUGCAGGAAUGUUUUCAAUGCUGGGAAAAGUGGUGCAUUGGAGAAAAAUGCAAAUGCGAACAGUGAAAUAAAACCAGCAACAAAAGCACAAAUCCUUUCUUUCAAGAGAAAGCAUAUUUUCACAUCCCUUCCAUCUUCUGCUCCCGUUUGCUAAUGCGUUCAAAAUAAGUUGCUUCUUUUCAUCCGUUGAGUCUGUUUUCUCGCUCUUCUCAGCUCUCACAUUCUCUCCCUGACAGCUGAAUAUGAUGUAGCGGAAGCAUAACCUAACCUGACAUUUCUCUCUACCUAUCCCAUAAACACACGAGUCCAAGCUAAUGAUCAAGAAGCUCUUUCAGCAGAUGUCUCACUUACCGAAAAUCAUCAUCUGCCUCUUUAGGCUGACUUUCUAAAAUGUCAGAGAGGCUUUUGAUUGCUGGAGAAAUACCAAGAUUGGAUGACUAGACAAGUAUUAACUCUUAACUUGUAACUUUUGGCUUUUGUUUUAUUGCACUAGUGUUGGGGAAGCUAUUUUAAGCUGUGCUUUCCUGUUUCCUUUAUUGGUUUCGUUUUCUUGCAUUUUAGCUCUUGUGUUUUAAGAUGCAAGAAAUGGAUGUGAGAAACUCAGCAAGAUAUGUUUGCAAAAUUCAAAAUCCUGCUCACUCAAGCGUCCCUUCAAAGCGACAUCUCUGCACAGCUGUGUUACCUUGUGGUUCUUACGGGAUCUGCUGUUAUGUUGUCGUACCUUGAUUAAUCAAGACAUUCUUAAUAAGUCCAGAUACGUUGUUGAAAUAUGUGAAACGUAUGUUUUUCUUUUAAACCACAAAGGUAAGACGUGCUUAAAACUGUUGUGACAGAUGUGAAGGUGAAGGAGAAUUUAUGCAUGCGUCAGGUGUUUCAACAAAAAAACACUUGUGUUUUCCUGUAUGGAAGCUUCCUCUUUCCUUGAUUCUCACCUCCUCGCAGUGCAUUUAAAGAACUGACAUGUCCUUCAUGACUUCGAUCGAUUUCUGGGUCACUGGCUAGAGGACGGACACGUGAGGAAGCGAGGAAGCAGCAAUUCGAGUAUUAAGUAAGAGUAAGUAUUCACCAAGCACUCAUGUUUGCUCCAUCAUCUCCCUACUUUAUACAAAGUGACUUAAGGACAUAUAUAUUUUGUUUUUUAUGCUAAUUGUCUUUAUCAGUGAACCAUCACAGAAUUUAUAAAUAAAUUAUUCUCCUAACCAGCUAGUCACUGAUUUUGUUUUUGAACAAAUCAGUGGUUUUGAACAAAUCAUUGAAUGGAUGAUUGAAAUGGCUCACUUGAAAGAUAAUCAAAUUUAAUUUCUGAUUGAAUCAGUUUGAAAGAACUGUUAAAAUGAAUGAUUCAGUGAUUUACUCAUAAAGACGGUCACAUGUUUAGUUUCUAAAUAAAUCACUGUUUUUGAACAAAUUGGUUGAGUGAAUGAUUCAAUAAGUUAUAGAAACAUCCAUUUGUUUUGUUUCUGAAUGAAUAAGUGCUUUUGAAAGAAUAGUUUAAAUGAAUGAUUUAGUGAUUCACUAAUAAAGACAGUCACGUGUUUAAUUUCUAAACGAAUUAUUGCAAAUUGGUUGAACGAUUCAAUGACUUUCUCAUAAAGACAGCCAGCCAUUUGUUUCUUUCCUAAAUUAAUCAGUGUUUAUAAAUGAGUCCAUUAACUGAAUGAUUCGGUAAUUCCCUUUUAAGGACAGUAACAUGUUUAGUUUUUAAAUGAAUUACUGUUUUUGAGCAAAUUGGUUGAGUGAAUGAUUCAAUGAUUUUUCACAUAGAGACAGCUACUUGUUUUGUUCCUGAAUGAAUCCGUGCUUUCGAAUGAAUCGUUUGAAUAAAUGAGUCAGUGAUUCACUCAUAAUGACAGUCACAUGUUUAGUUUCUAAAUGAAUCACUGUUUUUAAGCAAAUCGACUGAGUGAAAGAUUCAAUGACUUUCUCAUAGAGACAGGAAUUUAAUUUAUUCCUGAAGAAAUAAAUGUUUACAAAUGAAUCCAUUGAGUAAACGAUUCAGUGACUCACUCAUAAAGUCACUUUUUUGAACAGAUUAGAUGAGUGAAUGAUUCACUCAAAGCAGGUGUUAUUUGUUUAGUUCCUGAAGGUUCCCUAAUGUUUUUAGGUGGAUGAAUAAUUAAAUGACUCGCCCAUAUAGACUGCAACUUGUUUUCUUACCAAAUGAAUCAGUCUUCUCAACAAAAUGUUAAAUUAAUUAUUUAAAUGAAUCAGUCAUGAAAAGAAGCUCACUAAUGAAUCAGUGUUUUUGAAUGAAUCGUUUAAUGAUUUAAAUAAUUCUCUCAUAAAGAUAGUAACAAACACAAACAGAGAGAUGAAAACAGUGAAUUCGAUUUUAAAUAUGAACGUAGCUCACAUAUAUAUUGUCAAGCUCAGAUAGAUAGAUAAACAGCAGUAUUUACCUAUAUAUUUAUACACUACAAAAAAGCUGUAAAAUAGCUUCAGUAAAUUGAUGAAUCAGUCUGAAUGAACUCAAUCCCCCCAAAAUAAAUGAACCUUCUGUUUGGGAGAGAUUCUAGGGAAUUGUGUUUGGUUAUUUCAUCAGCUUACUCAGAUGUUAGGCUGCAAGGCAAAUACGUGACAAAAACAGUGAUACACUGCUAUGCGUAGGCAAAAAUAACUCGAUAGCGUGCUACGCUAUUAAAAACAUUUCAGCAUUUGUAAUGCAAUUGAAAAUAGUUAAGCUAGCAGCAUUGCUAGUUUCACUCCCCGCACCAUGAGAAGUAAACCUAGUAAACUGCUUACCAAUCAAUGUCUGGCCUUUUAAAGCAUAGGAAUAUCUCCAUUAGCAUUUCCUAGUGUCAACACAAUAUGGCAGAUUGUCAGCUCAGGUGAAUGGAACACACCUUCACAUCUGUCAACAAACACAUCGCACCUGAUUCUUCUCCAAGCGCCAUGGCAGUGUUUAUUUCACACGUAUGUAACUGCAAUCAUCUGAAUAGAUGAAUAGCACUUUCCUUGCUACCAUGCUUCAUGGACAUAAUUGUACGAAGUCCCAUUUGUGAUCUAAUUGGAGCACAAAGUGCACUUGACCCCGGUGAUCCGACGGGGCUCGUUUGGUUUAAGUGAUAGCCCUGUUAGAACGAGGUGGAAUCCGCGGCCAAGUCUCACAGCGGUAUCUCACGGCACUUUAAUUUCCAGGCCCUUCGGUCCAACAGGCCUCUCUGGCCAUGGCGGCGUGACAACGCCGAAGGCCACGUGCGUGUGCACUACACCUACUUGCUUUUUUAUUUGCACGCUGUGCAAGAUUUGUUGCUGAAAGACGUGUUGAAGGGAGAGAGGAAGGGUUAUUUUUCUCAUCUCCCUCCCACUUUGCAUUAUGUCGACUCUGAUUAUGCAAACCGCCCCCGCUGCAGGAGACGCUGGUUAAGUACAGAACCUUUAGUGAACUAUCCUAAUCUUUUCAGGUUUAUCUGAUGCUAACGGUGUCUGCAAUCAGGAAAAUAUACAAGCAGAUGGGUGUAGCGCUGCAUGCGGAUACAAUCCCUGCGAAAUCCCAUCCGAGACUCCUCUUUGCGUGAACGCGCUCGUGUAAAUUACACAGACGUAAAUGCAUAAAUGAAAUGGCAGCAGCGGCUCUUAAAAUCCUCAGUGAUGGGUCUGACCCACUAUAACCCUCAAGGUUUUCAAAGGCUACGCUUGUAAAACGAGUCGGAUCAGUUCUGAAGCUUUUGACACGUUAAUAAAUCAUAAUUUGUGGACCGCAGGAAGGGUAAAAUCACAGCAACAAGGAUUCAAGCAGUGGAUGUAUUUUAGAGUUUUAAAGCUGCAUUUGCAAUCCAUUUUACUUUCAUAAUGUGACAGAUUUCUGAGGGAAAUGGGAUGUUAAUAAGAAAAAAAAUAUUCAUUAGGCAUUAAAUGGUUUAUAAAAAAGUGGCAUAGUUUAAAAAAUUAAAAUUGACAUAAACCAAAAAAAAAAAAGAAAAUCAUUUCAGAGGUGGUACAAUACUUAUUUUAUUUCAUUUUUAUUUUAUUUUAUGUGGAAAAUGCACAUAAUUGAUUUGUUCAAAAAAGGACCAAGACUAUGUAUUAAACAAAUUUGAAAGAGUCUAUUAUUUCACAUUGCAAAACGUAUGAAAUUUUUUUUUUAAAAAACUGUAAAUUGAAACCGAACAAAAGAAAAAAAAAUCAGGCAUUAAAUGGUUUAUAAAAAAGUGACAUAGUUUAAAAAGCUAGAACUCACAUUAGCCAAAAAGCAAAAUAACACAAGACUUUUUAUUUUAUUUUAUUAUAUUAUUUUAUUUUAAAAUGCAAUUUUAUUGCAUUUUAUGUGGAAAAAUCAUUGACUUCAAAAUCAAAAUAAGACCAAGGCUAUAUAUUAAACAAAUUUGAAUGUCUGUUAUUUCACAUAGCAAAACUUAUGAAAUUUGUUUUUGGUAACUGAAAAUGGAAUCUGAAAAAAAUCUAUAUAUUAAAAAUACUAAGAAAUGCUGCCCUGGCAAUUAACUAUAAUGAAAAACUAAUAUUACAAAGACUUACAGACUUAAUGUAUAAAAAAAAAAAGCUAAAUUUUUUUUUACAAAUAUUUCAUUUUAUAAAAUAUUUUAGAAUUAAUAAAUAAUAAUGAAUAAAAAAUAAAUUAAAAGUAUUAAUAAAUACCAAACUAUACUAUAAGUAAGACUUCCUUAUAUAGUUGAUUUCAUUAAGGAAGAUGUACUGUAAAAUAAAUUGGACUGCUUGUUUAUACCUCAGGGACAAUAUGUAUCCACUGGAUGGAUGGUACAUAAUUAAUCUG